AUUGAACGCUGGCGGAAUGCUUUACACAUGCAAGUCGAGCGGCAGCGCGGGGCAACCUGGCGGCGAGCGGCGAACGGGUGAGUAAUACAUCGGAACGUACCCAGUUGUGGGGGAUAGCCCGGCGAAAGCCGGAUUAAUACCGCAUACGACCUGAGGGUGAAAGGGGGGGGAUCGCAAGACCUCUCGCAGUUGGAGCGGCCGAUGGCGGAUUAGCUAGUUGGUGAGGUAAAGGCUCACCAAGGCGACGAUCCGUAGCUGGUCUGAGAGGACGACCAGCCACACUGGAACUGAGACACGGUCCAGACUCCUACGGGAGGCAGCAGUGGGGGAAUUUUGGACAAUGGGGGCAACCCUGAUCCAGCCAUUCCGCGUGAGUGAAGAAGGCC
rnacentral:rRNA from 1 species